rnacentral:rRNA from 1 species
UACGAGAGCCUCAAGCGUUAUCCGGAAUUAUUGGGCGUAAAGGAUGUGUAGGUGGUUUUGUUAGUCGUGUGUGAAAUCCUCGGGCUCAACCUGAGAGACGCAUGCGAAACGGCAUUACUAGAGAAUGUGAGGGGUGUACGGAACUCAUGGUGUAGGGGUGAAAUCCGUUGAUAUCAUGGGGAACACCAAAAGCGAAGGCAGUACACUGGCACAUAUCUGACACUGAAACAUGAAAGCGUGGGUAGCGAAUGGG